CAGUAGCCGCGGGAAUACGAAGGGGGCUAGCGUUGCUCGGAAUUAAUGGGCGUAAAGGGCGCGUAGGCGGACAGUUCAGUCGGGGGUGAAAGCCCGGAGCUCAACCUCGGAAUUGCCUUCGAUACUGGCUGUCUUGAGUAUGAGAGAGGUGUGUGGAACUCCGAGUGUAGAGGUGAAAUUCGUAGAUAUUCGGAAGAACACCAGUGGCGAAGGCGACACACUGGCUCAUUACUGACGCUGAGGCGCGAAAGCGUGGGGAGCAAACAGGAUUAGAUACCCCGGUAGUCCCUGUCUCUUAUAC
rnacentral:rRNA from 1 species